AUUGAACGCUGGCGGCAGGCCUAACACAUGCAAGUCGAACGAGUGGCGGACGGGUGAGUAAUGUCUGGGAAACUGCCUGAUGGAGGGGGAUAACUACUGGAAACGGUAGCUAAUACCGCAUACCAUCAGCUGUGCCCAGAUGGGAUUAGCUUUUUGGUGGGGUAACUGCUCACCUAGGCGACGAUCCCUAGCUGGUCUGAGAGGAUGACCAGCCACACUGGAGUGGAUACACGGUCCAGACUCCUACGGUAGGUAACAGUUGGGAAUAUUGCAGAAUAGGCGCAAGCCUGAUGAAGCCAUGCUGAGUGUAUGACGAAGGCCUUCGGGUGGUAAAGUCCUUUCAGCGGGGAGGCGUUAUCCGCAGAAGAAGCACCGGCUAACUCCGUGCCAGCAGCCGCGGUAAUUC
rnacentral:rRNA from 1 species